CACAUGCAAGUCCAACGGUGAAGGGGAGCUUGCUUCCUGGAUCAGUGGCGAACGGGUGAGUAACACGUGAGCAAUCUGCCCCUGACUCUGGGAUAAGCGCUGGAAACGGCGUCUAAUACUGGAUACGAGCUGCGAUCGCAUGGUCAGCAGUUGGAAAGAAUUUCGGUCAGGGAUGAGCUCGCGGCCUAUCAGCUUGUUGGUGAGGUAAUGGCUCACCAAGGCGUCGACGGGUAGCCGGCCUGAGAGGGUGACCGGCCACACUGGGACUGAGACACGGCCCAGACUCCUACGGGAGGCAGCAGUGGGGAAUAUUGCACAAUGGGCGCAAGCCUGAUGCAGCAACGCCGCGUGAGGGACGACGGCCUUCGGGUUGUAAACCUCUUUUAGCAGGGAAGAAGCGAAAGUGACGGUACCUGCAGAAAAAGCACCGGCUAACUACGUGCCAGCAGCCGCGGUAAUACGUAGGGUGCAAGCGUUAUCCGGAAUUAUUGGGCGUAAAGAGCUCGUAGGCGGUUUGUCGCGUCUGCUGUGAAAACCCGAGGCUCAACCUCGGGCCUGCAGUGGGUACGGGCAGACUAGAGUGCGGUAGGGGAGAUUGGAAUUCCUGGUGUAGCGGUGGAAUGCGCAGAUAUCAGGAGGAACACCGAUGGCGAAGGCAGAUCUCUGGGCCGUAACUGACGCUGAGGAGCGAAAGGGUGGGGAGCAAACAGGCUUAGAUACCCUGGUAGUCCACCCCGUAAACGUUGGGAACUAGUUGUGGGGUCCAUUCCACGGAUUCCGUGACGCAGCUAACGCAUUAAGUUCCCCGCCUGGGGAGUACGGCCGCAAGGCUAAAACUCAAAGGAAUUGACGGGGACCCGCACAAGCGGCGGAGCAUGCGGAUUAAUUCGAUGCAACGCGAAGAACCUUACCAAGGCUUGACAUAUACGAGAACGCCGCAGAAAUGUGGAACUCUUUGGACACUCGUAAACAGGUGGUGCAUGGUUGUCGUCAGCUCGUGUCGUGAGAUGUUGGGUUAAGUCCCGCAACGAGCGCAACCCUC
rnacentral:rRNA from 1 species